rnacentral:tRNA from 6 species
GGGUGUGGCUCAGCUUGGCUAGAGCGCCUGGUUUGGGACCAGGAGGUCGCAGGUUCGAAUCCUGUCACC